GGGAUCCUUGAUGCCUACAUCCAUAACAGGAGUUUGCCCCUGCCAGGCUCCAAAGAAGGAUGUUGUGAGAACCAACGAGAAGCACCCAGUGCAGGGACAGCUCCAACGUGGGUCUCAGAAGAACUGUUUGGCUUCUGAGCCAGCUCAGAGAGGGAGGCUCUUCCUGGACCUCCUUCCCUUUUCCAGGAGUCCGGUCCUUUUUAGGAGAGAGCUGUCUGAGAUUGAAGCUGCAAAGACCCCUUUUUUCCAAGAAGGUCUAAGGGAUGCUCAGGGAGCCUCGCGGCUGCAUCCCCCUCAUUCCGUAGGAGCCCCCCAAAAGCUGCGGCUGCCGCCAGGAGCAGCCCCCUAGGCAGGUGCGAGGGAAGUUCCUUCAGGGAGCUGGGAGCGGAAGAAAGAGCCGCCCACGGGGAAGCCUCUACAAACAGCUCUCGGCUUCCAGUCAUUGGAAAGGUGGGAUGUGGGUCAAAAGAAAACAAAAAUGCAAAGCAGUUGAGUCUCACUUGCCAUUUUGUGUGCAAGGAGAAGGCAGAGACAUGGAUAGUAUACCAAUGACAAGAACAGUGUCCUCAGCACCAGGCUGUGUGCAGGCCUGCAGGAGAGGGGUGAGCUCUGGGUCCCUGCGGAAUCUGCAGAGCCCUGUGGCUGGCCCAGGGGUAUUUCACAGGACAGGGG
rnacentral:lncRNA from 1 species